rnacentral:misc_RNA from 1 species
GAUGAAGAACGCAGCGAAAUGCGAUAAGUAGUGUGAAUUGCAGAAUUCAGUGAAUCAUCGAAUCUUUGAACGCACAUUGCGCCCCUUGGUAUCCCGAGGGGCAUGCCUGUUCGAGCGUCAUUUCACCACUCAAGCCUGGCUUGGUGUUGGGCGACGUCCUCUUUGGGGACGCGCCUCGAAACGCUCGGCGGCGUGGCACCGGCUUUAAGCGUAGCAGAAUCUUUCGCUUUGGAAGUCGGGGCCCCGUCUGCCGGAAGACCUGCUCGCAAGGUUGACCUCGGAUCAGGUGGGGAUACCCGCUGAACUUAAGCAUAUCAAUAAGCGGAGGA